GCGUGCCUAACACAUGCAAGUCGAGCGAUCUUCUUCGGACGUUAGCGGCGGACGGGUGAGUAACGCGUGGGUAACCUGCCCUGUACACACGGAUAACAUACCGAAAGGUAUGCUAAUACGGGAUAAUAUAAGAAAUUCGCAUGUUUUUCUUAUCAAAGCUCCGGCGGUACAGGAUGGACCCGCGUCUGAUUAGCUAGUUGGUGAGGUAACGGCUCACCAAGGCGACGAUCAGUAGCCGACCUGAGAGGGUGAUCGGCCACAUUGGAACUGAGACACGGUCCAAACUCCUACGGGAGGCAGCAGUGGGGAAUAUUGCACAAUGGGCGAAAGCCUGAUGCAGCAACGCCGCGUGAGCGAUGAAGGCCUUCGGGUCGUAAAGCUCUGUCCUCAAGGAAGAUAAUGACGGUACUUGAGGAGGAAGCCCCGGCUAACUACGUGCCAGCAGCCGCGGUAAUACGUAGGGGGCUAGCGUUAUCCGGAUUUACUGGGCGUAAAGGGUGCGUAGGCGGUCUUUUAAGUCAGGAGUGAAAGGCUACGGCUCAACCGUAGUAAGCUCUUGAAACUGGAGGACUUGAGUGCAGGAGAGGAGAGUGGAAUUCCUAGUGUAGCGGUGAAAUGCGUAGAUAUUAGGAGGAACACCAGUAGCGAAGGCGGCUCUCUGGACUGUAACUGACGCUGAGGCACGAAAGCGUGGGGAGCAAACAGGAUUAGAUACCCUGGUAGUCCACGCCGUAAACGAUGAGUACUAGCUGUCGGAGGUUACCCCCUUCGGUGGCGCAGCUAACGCAUUAAGUACUCCGCCUGGGGAGUACGCUCGCAAGAGUGAAACUCAAAGGAAUUGACGGGGACCCGCACAAGUAGCGGAGCAUGUGGUUUAAUUCGAAGCAACGCGAAGAACCUUACCUAAGCUUGACAUCCUUUUGACCGAUGCCUAAUCGCAUCUUUCCCUUCGGGGACAGAAGUGACAGGUGGUGCAUGGUUGUCGUCAGCUCGUGUCGUGAGAUGUUGGGUUAAGUCCCGCAACGAGCGCAACCCUUGCCUUUAGUUGCCAUCAUUAAGUUGGGCACUCUAGAGGGACUGCCAGGGAUGACCUGGAGGAAGGUGGGGAUGACGUCAAAUCAUCAUGCCCCUUAUGCUUAGGGCUACACACGUGCUACAAUGGGUGGUACAGAGGGCAGCGAAGUCGUGAGGCCAAGCUAAUCCCUUAAAGCCAUUCUCAGUUCGGAUUGUAGGCUGAAACUCGCCUACAUGAAGCUGGAGUUACUAGUAAUCGCAGAUCAGAAUGCUGCGGUGAAUGCGUUCCCGGGUCUUGUACACACCGCCCGUCACACCAUGGGAGUUGGGGGCGCCCGAAGCCGGCUAGCUAACCUUUUGGAAGCGGUCGUCGAAGGUGAAACCAAUAACUGGGG
rnacentral:rRNA from 1 species